rnacentral:tRNA from 1 species
CAAAAAGUAGUUUAAUAAGAAUUAGAGCUUUGGGAGCUUUAGGUGUAGGAUUCUAUCUUUUUGA